GAACAAAAUCAACUACACCUACAGAUGAUGGAAAACAAUAAAUUCCAGGCAAAAGCAAGAAUUUCCGCUGAAAAUUAUUCCAGAGGACUUAGAAGAAAAUCAAGAUGAUGACUAUCAGGAGGGUAGGAAAUACUCAAUCAAUGGACAUUUCAGAUAAAUAACUUGAAAUUGGUGGUUUGUGAUCAUUACGAAGAUGAAGCGAGAGAAAAGAAGUAAUUCUUUUGGAACAAAAUCAACUACAGCAACUUAUGAUGGAAAACAAUAAAUUUUAGAUUAUCGGCAAAGCAAGACUUUCCUCUGAAAAUUAUUUCAGUGGACUGAGAAGAAAAUCAAGAUGAUGACGGUCACAGGGGAAGGAAAUACUCAAUCAAUGGACACUUCAGAUGAAUAAAAUAAAAGUGAUGGCUUGUGAUCAUUACGAAGAUGAGGCGACAGAAAAGAAUUAAUUCCACUGGAACAAAAUCAACGAUACCUACCUAUAAUGGAAAACAAUAAAUUCUGACAAUCGGCAAAGCAAAACUUUCCACGGAAUAUUAUUGGAGGUAGG